UACGUAGGGUGCGAGCGUUGUCCGGAAUUAUUGGGCGUAAAGAGCUCGUAGGCGGUCUGUCGCGUCUGCUGUGAAAUCCCGAGGCUCAACCUCGGGCCUGCAGUGGGUACGGGCAGACUAGAGUGCGGUAGGGGAGAUUGGAAUUCCUGGUGUAGCGGUGGAAUGCGCAGAUAUCAGGAGGAACACCGAUGGCGAAGGCAGAUCUCUGGGCCGUAACUGACGCUGAGGAGCGAAAAGCGUGGGGAGCGAACAGG
rnacentral:rRNA from 1 species